UGUUCUCGCCAGCAGGAGUCAUCAUCUAUCUCAGCGGCAGAUAUCUCAAGCUUAUAUACAAAAAUCAUUUCCACAUCAAUUCAGAAUGAUUUCAUAAU